UACGGAGGUGGCAAGCGUUGUCCGGAUUUAUUGGGCGUAAAGCGAGUGCAGGCGGUUCCUUAAGUCUGAUGUGAAAGCCCCCGGCUCAACCGGGGAAAGUCAUUGGAAACUAGGGAACUUGAGUGCAGAAGGGGAAAGUGGAAUUCCCUGUGUAGCGGUGAAAUGCGUAGAUAUUGAAAAGAACACCAGUAGCGAAGGCAGCUUUCUGGACUGUAACUGACACUGAGGCACGAAAGCGUGGGGAGCGAACAGG
rnacentral:rRNA from 1 species